AUUGAACGCUAGCGGCAGGCCUAACACAUGUAAGUCGAGCGGAGCGGCGGACGGGGGAGUAAUGCCUAGGAAUCUGACUGGUAGUGGGGGAGGACGUCCGGUAACGGGCGCUAAUACCGAAUACUAUCAGAUGAGCAGAUGUCGGAAUAGCUAGAUGGAGGGGUAAAGGCCAACCAAGGCGACGAUCAGUAACUGGUCUGAGAGGACGAUCAGCCACACUGGAACUGAGACACGGUCCCGACUCCUACGGGAGGCAGCAGUGGGGAAUUUUGGACAAUGGGGGAAACCCUGAUCCAGCCAUGCCGCGUGUGUGAUGAAGGUCUUCGGGUUGUAAAGCACUUUAAGUUGGGAGGCGUUACCUGCAGAAUAAGCACCGGCUAACUACGUGCCAGCAGCCGCGGUAAUAC
rnacentral:rRNA from 1 species